UACGAAGGGGGCAAGCGUUGUUCGGAAUUACUGGGCGUAAAGGGCGCGCAGGCGGCUGAUCAAGUCAGAUGUGAAAGCCCCGGGCUCAACCUGGGAAUAGCAUUUGGGACUGGUCGGCUAGAGUUCGGGAGAGGAGAGUGGAAUUCCCAGUGUAGAGGUGAAAUUCGUAGAUAUUGGGAAGAACACCGGUGGCGAAGGCGGCUCACUGGACCAUUACUGACGCUGAUGCACGAAAGCUAGGGGAGCAAACAGG
rnacentral:rRNA from 1 species